rnacentral:rRNA from 1 species
GACGAACGCUGGCGGCGUGCUUAACACAUGCAAGUCGAACGGAAAGGCCCUGCUUUUGUGGGGUGCUCGAGUGGCGAACGGGUGAGUAACACGUGAGUAACCUGCCCUUGACUUUGGGAUAACUUCAGGAAACUGGGGCUAAUACCGGAUAGGAGCUCCUGCUGCAUGGUGGGGGUUGGAAAGUUUCGGCGGUUGGGGAUGGACUCGCGGCUUAUCAGCUUGUUGGUGGGGUAGUGGCUUACCAAGGCUUUGACGGGUAGCCGGCCUGAGAGGGUGACCGGCCACAUUGGGACUGAGAUACGGCCCAGACUCCUACGGGAGGCAGCAGUGGGGAAUAUUGCACAAUGGGCGGAAGCCUGAUGCAGCAACGCCGCGUGCGGGAUGACGGCCUUCGGGUUGUAAACCGCCUCCGCCUGUGACGAAGCGUGAGUGACGGUAAUGGGUAAAGAAGCACCGGCUAACUACGUG